rnacentral:rRNA from 1 species
UGGGGAAUAUUGGGCAAUGGGCGAAAGCCUGACCCAGCUAUGCCGCGUGAGUGAUGAAGGCCUUCGGGUCGUAAAGCUCUGUGGAGAGGGAAGAACAAGCAUAUGGCUAAUAUCCAUGUGCCCUGACGGUACCUCUUUAGCAAGCACCGGCUAACUCCGUGCCAGCAGCCGCGGUAAUACGGAGGGUGCAAACGUUGCUCGGAAUCAUUGGGCGUAAAGCGCACGUAGGUGGUUCGUUAAGUCGGAUGUGAAAGCCCCGGGCUCAACUCGGGAAGUGCAUUCGAAACUGGCGAGCUUGAGUAUGGAAGAGGGUCGCGGAAUUCCCGGUGUAGAGGUGAAAUUCGUAGAUAUCGGGAGGAACACCAGUGGCGAAGGCGGCGACCUGGGCCAAUACUGACACUGAGGUGCGAAAGCGUGGGGAGCAAACAG